UACGGAGGGAGCGAGCGUUAUUCGGAAUUAUUGGGCGUAAAGGGCUCGUAGGCGGUUUGUCGCGUCGGGAGUGAAAACCUUGGGCUUAACUCAGGGCUUGCUUUCGAUACGGGCAGACUAGAGGUAUGCAGGGGAGAACGGAAUUCCUGGUGUAGCGGUGAAAUGCGCAGAUAUCAGGAGGAACACCGGUGGCGAAGGCGGUUCUCUGGGCAUGAUCUGACGCUGAGGAGCGAAAGUGUGGGGAGCGAACAGG
rnacentral:rRNA from 1 species